CUAUGCGCCUUGCCAGCCCGCUCAGGUGUGCCAGCAGCCGCGGUAAUACAGAGGUCUCAAGCGUUGUUCGGAAUCACUGGGCGUAAAGCGUGCGUAGGCGGUUUCGUAAGUCGUGUGUGAAAGGCGGGGGCUCAACCCCCGGACUGCACACGAUACUGCGAGACUAGAGUAAUGGAGGGGGAACCGGAAUUCUCGGUGUAGCAGUGAAAUGCGUAGAUAUCGAGAGGAACACUCGUGGCGAAGGCGGGUUCCUGGACAUUAACUGACGCUGAGGCACGAAGGCCAGGGGAGCGAAAGGG
rnacentral:rRNA from 1 species